UACGUAGGGGGCAAGCGUUGUCCGGAUUUAUUGGGCGUAAAGAGCGUGUAGGCGGCCAGGUAGGUCAGCUGUGAAAACUCGAGGCUCAACCUCGAGACGUCGGUUGAAACCACCUGGCUAGAGUCCGGAAGAGGAGAGUGGAAUUCCUGGUGUAGCGGUGAAAUGCGCAGAUAUCAGGAAGAACACCCGUGGCGAAGGCGGCUCUCUGGGACGGUACUGACGCUGAGGAGCGAAAGCCAGGGGAGCAAACGGG
rnacentral:rRNA from 1 species